rnacentral:rRNA from 1 species
CCUACGUGGGGCAGCAGUGGGGAAUAUUGCGCAAUGGGCGAAAGCCUGACGCAGCGCCGCCGCGUGAGGGAUGAAGGUCUUCGGAUCGUAAACCUCUGUCAGCAGGGAAGAACGGUCACUGUGCUAAUCAGCAGUGAAUUGACGGUACCUGCAAAGGAAGCACCGGCUAACUCCGUGCCAGCAGCCGCGGUAAUACGGAGGGUGCGAGCGUUAAUCGGAAUUACUGGGCGUAAAGCGCUCGUAGGCGGUAUGUCAAGUCAAGGGUGAAAUCCCCGCGCUCAACGUGGGAACUGCCUUUGAAACUGGCAAACUGGAGUGUGUGAGAGGAUAGUGGAAUUCCAGGUGUAGGAGUGAAAUCCGUAGAGAUCUGGAGGAACAUCAGUGGCGAAGGCGACUAUCUGGCACAUAACUGACGCGGAGGAGCGAAAGCGUGGGUAGCAAACAGGAUUAGAUACCCUGGUAGUC